CAGCUGUGAGGCUGGAGGACCAUUUCUGGAUGUGGGACGGAGGAGGCAUGAAAAAAUUAAUCCCCAAAAUUAAGAUACAGAAAUUUGCAAACACAUGUGAGGGAGACGAAGGAGUGUGCAGAAAGAAAUGCAAAGAAUCUGAAACUGCAUUGCACUACUGUUUAAACAACAAAAUAUGCUGUGUGAAAUCAACUUCAACCGUUCCUACCAACGUUGUUGUGGAGGACACUGAGUGGAGGAGAUUUGUCACCACCACAAGUCAUCCUUUUUACUGAAGAGCCUCAACCUUUUCUCCUUCUUGAAAUCUUCCUGUCAAGUAUCCCCACUAUAAAAUUGCAUUCCAGCC